rnacentral:rRNA from 2 species
UAAUGUCUGGGAAACUGCCUGAUGGAGGGGGAUAACUACUGGAAACGGUAGCUAAUACCGCAUAACCUCGCAAGAGCAAAGAGGGGGACCUUCGGGCCUCUCGCCAUCAGAUGUGCCCAGAUGGGAUUAGCUAGUAGGUGAGGUAAUGGCUCACCUAGGCGACGAUCCCUAGCUGGUCUGAGAGGAUGACCAGCCACACUGGAACUGAGACACGGUCCAGACUCCUACGGGAGGCAGCAGUGGGGAAUAUUGCACAAUGGGCGCAAGCCUGAUGCAGCCAUGCCGCGUGUGUGAAGAAGGCCUUCGGGUUGUAAAGCACUUUCAGCGAGGAGGAAGGCAGUCGUGUUAAUAGCACGGCUGAUUGACGUUACUCGCAGAAGAAGCACCGGCUAACUCCGUGCCAGCAGCCGCGGUAAUACGGAGGGUGCAAGCGUUAAUCGGAAUGACUGGGCGUAAAGCGCACGCAGGCGGUCUGUUAAGUUGGAUGUGAAAUCCCCGGGCUUAACCUGGGAACUGCAUUCAAAACUGACAGGCUAGAGUCUUGUAGAGGGGGGUAGAAUUCCAGGUGUAGCGGUGAAAUGCGUAGAGAUCUGGAGGAAUACCGGUGGCGAAGGCGGCCCCCUGGACAAAGACUGACGCUCAGGUGCGAAAGCGUGGGGAGCAAACAGGAUUAGAUACCCUGGUAGUCCACGCUGUAAACGAUGUCGAUUUGGAGGUUGUGCCCUUGAGGCGUGGCUUCCGGAGCUAACGCGUUAAAUCGACCGCCUGGGGAGUACGGCCGCAAGGUUAAAACUCAAAUGAAUUGACGGGGGCCCGCACAAGCGGUGGAGCAUGUGGUUUAAUUCGAUGCAACGCGAAGAACCUUACCUACUCUUGACAUCCAGAGAAUUAGCUAGAGAUAGCUGAGUGCCUUCGGGAACUCUGAGACAGGUGCUGCAUGGCUGUCGUCAGCUCGUGUUGUGAAAUGUUGGGUUAAGUCCCGCAACGAGCGCAACCCUUAUCCUUUGUUGCCAGCGAUUCGGUCGGGAACUCAAAGGAGACUGCCGGUGAUAAACCGGAGGAAGGU